rnacentral:rRNA from 1 species
AAAGUCGUAACAAGGUCUCCGUUGGUGAACCAGCGGAGGGAUCAUUACCGAGUUUACAACUCCCAAACCCCUGUGAACAUACCUUAUGUUGCCUCGGCGGAUCAGCCCGCGCCCCGUAAAAAGGGACGGCCCGCCGCAGGAACCCUAAACUCUGUUUUUAGUGGAACUUCUGAGUAUAAAAAACAAAUAAAUCAAAACUUUCAACAACGGAUCUCUUGGUUCUGGCAUCGAUGAAGAACGCAGCAAAAUGCGAUAAGUAAUGUGAAUUGCAGAAUUCAGUGAAUCAUCGAAUCUUUGAACGCACAUUGCGCCCGCCAGUAUUCUGGCGGGCAUGCCUGUUCGAGCGUCAUUUCAACCCUCAAGCCCAGCUUGGUGUUGGGAGCUGCAGUCCUGCUGCACUCCCCAAAUACAUUGGCGGUCACGUCGAGCUUCCAUAGCGUAGUAAUUUACACAUCGUUACUGGUAAUCGUCGCGGCCACGCCGUUAAACCCCAACUUCUGAAUGUUGACCUCGGAUCAGGUAGGAAUACCCGCUGAACUUAAGCAUAUCAAUAAGCCCGGG